GAAGGGUGCAAGCGUUACUCGGAAUNACUGGGCGUAAAGCGUGCGUAGGUGGUNGUUUAAGNCUGUCGUGAAAGCCCUGGGCUCAACCUGGGAAUNGCGAUGGAAACUGGGCGACUAGAGUGUGGCAGAGGGUAGUGGAAUUCCUGGUGUAGCAGUGAAAUGCGUAGAGAUCAGGAGGAACAUCCGUGGCGAAGGCGACUGCCUGGGCCAACACUGACACUGAGGCACGAAAGCGUGGGGAGCAAACAGGAUUAGAUACCCUGGUAGUCCACGCCCUAAACGAUGCGAACUGGAUGUUGGGUGCAAUUUGGCACGCAGUAUCGAAGCUAACGCGUUAAGUUCGCCGCCUGGGGAGU
rnacentral:rRNA from 1 species